UUGAAUUUAGUUUCGUCACUCCUCUCGGCGUAUUGUUGGGCGAAAAAAAAAUAUUAAAGGAGAAAAAAAUUGGGUACACUUGAUUUUUUCUUUUUUCCUUUCUCUCUCUCUAUCAGCUUCAAUUAAAACCGACUCGAAAAAUUUGGGAUCAGAAGAAGAAUUUGGGAUCAGAUCCUUGAAGGUUUCGACUCGAAGGACCUGGAAUCAGAAGAAGGGUAAGGGAAUGGAGAGAAGGCAAUUAGUAGGCCAACCGAUUUGGAAGCCAAUCGCGAAAGGAAGAAUCGAGUUUGUGGAGGAGGAUCCUACCAUGGCCACUCUAAUUCAAGUUUAUUCCUCUAGAGUUUUGUUUCUGGAUUGAAUCAUUGAAGGCUUUUUAUUAUGUUUAUGCGAUUUUUUACCAUUUGCUCUGCUAUUUCAGGUUGUGGAGGAUCGGUAGGUGAUGCUUUUGAUGGAUCCUUUUCGUUUACUGUGCCCUACAUCUUCAGUACCAGUUAGUGUGUUCUUCCUCCUAACCCACUUUUUUCUAUAUGUGUAAAUACAUCUCUGUCUCUUUGAUGCAGAUCGUCGAGGCACCGAGAUUACUGUGUGGGAACAUCAGAAGAGAAACAUUGUGGGACUGCGUAUAAUUUAUGAGUUCAACUUUCAGGUUACCUCGCAUCUAUACAAAAAUUUUCCUAUCCGUUGUUUUAUUUAAUAUUGGCUAUUGUUGAUCCUAUGUGUCUUGUGUUUCUCAUAUGUUCAAAUAUUCAUAUAAGAGAUGAUCACAAAUUCUCCACUAGACGAGUUUGUUCUUGAACUGUGUCCUUUUUUAACUAGAAAAAGGCUGGACAUAUGUGAAAGAUAUUCAGUUCUUUUACUCUCUGUUUUUUUGUUCCUUGCUUCUUCGUCUUGCAUGUGUUUUGGAAGCUAAGUUUGUGGAGGAUCCUAUGAUUGAUCCUUGUCACUCUAGGUUUGUGGAAGAUCCUACGAUUGAUCAGUGAUGGCUUGGAUAGACACGCUUCUUCUCUAUGCUACGUCUUUAAAGGUGUUUGGAAGCUAAUUAUGAUCGAAUCCUCACGUAUUCUUCUCCAUGCUAUGUCUACAGGCCUUCUCACAGAAACUUGAGGUUACUAACUGGUGUGUUAAUGUGUCGAAACUAUGCUCAAGAUUCGAAUGGAUAUUCGUGAUUGAGAAAAACAUAAACGCUUGCAAGAUGAUUUGGUUGAGAAUAUUUGGGCAAAAUUUGGAGCAAAUCAGUAUUAAAAUUUAUCAU